AGUUUAAACUCCCNAACCCCGGUGUGAACCUCUACCUCAUCGUUGCCUCGGCGGGAUCGCCCCGGCGCGCCCCCUCCAGGGCGUCCGGACCACACGGCGCCCGCCGCAGGACCCCCCAAACUCUCUCGCCCCUCCGGCGUCGUUUUAUUCUGAGUGGACCUUUUUCCUCGCGAGAGCGGGGUGAAAAUGAAUUAAAACUUUCAACAACGGAUCUCUUGGCUCUGGCAUCGAUGAAGAACGCAGCGAAAUGCGAUAAGUAAUGUGAAUUGCAGAAUUCAGUGAAUCAUCGAAUCUUUGAACGCACAUUGCGCCCGCCAGUAUUCUGGCGGGCAUGCCUGUCCGAGCGUCAUUUCGACCCUCAGGCCCCGUCAGGGGACUGGCGUUGGGGGACGGCACCGCUGGGAGGAGGGGGGUUCGCCUCCCCUCCCCCGCCGCCGCCCCCGAAAUGCAGUGGCGGCCUCGCCGCAGCGACCUCCGCGUAGUAGCACAGAACCUCGCGGCCUGGGAGCUGGGCGCGGCCACGCCGUAAAACAACCCCCACGCGAAGAACCCUUCGCACCAAGAGUUGACCUCGGAUCAGGUAGGAAUACCCGCUGAACUUAAGCAUAUCAAUAANCGGGAGGAAA
rnacentral:rRNA from 1 species